GUCAAUAACCCCUGAAUAGGAGUAGGUGCUUGUAGGAGUAAUCUUGCAGACUCUCCGAGUUGACCAGACUUAGUACUUGUAAAAGUGCUAAGUUAAAAGCUAUACAACACAGGUACGGCAGGGGGCUUCUCCAGCCUUGCCCGCUACG
rnacentral:sRNA from 20 species